rnacentral:rRNA from 1 species
UGCCAGCCGCCGGGUAAUACGGAGGGGGUUAGCGUUGUUCGGAAUUACUGGGCGUAAAGCGCACGUAGGCGGAUUAGUAAGUUAGGGGUGAAAUCCCAGGGCUCAACCCUGGAACUGCCUUUAAUACUGCUAGUCUUGAGUUCGAGAGAGGUAAGUGGAAUUCCAAGUGUAGAGGUGAAAUUCGUAGAUAUUUGGAGGAACACCAGUGGCGAAGGCGGCUUACUGGCUCGAUACUGACGCUGAGGUGCGAAGGCGUGGGUAGCUAACAGGAUUAGAUA